rnacentral:snoRNA from 9 species
AAAAAAGCAGGGGCUUGUUGUAUCCUUUGUGAACAGGCCUCUCGUAAACGUCAGGGAAAUUAAUGUUUUCAUUGUUAUUGGGUGAACCUCUGUUUUUUGAUUUAUUUGUCGCUGAAGGUUCAGUAAAUAAUGGAACAUUU